UUUCCUCUAUUAUGGACAUGAGAGAAGAGCAUAGGCUCAGCUCCCCAACUCCUGGCCAUAGUCUCUUCUGGCUGCUUUAGGUUCCUCGAGGCAGAGUUGUCUGCUGUAUCCAGGCUUAGCUCCUCUGAAGGGAAAGGUAUAUUCUCUUUCCGGCCCUUCUGCUAUUGAGUUUCUGAGAUUAGUUCUUUUAUAAAGGAGCUCUAGUGUCAGAAGGGCAAGGGCAGCACGGGAUGGGGACAGCAUCUGCCUCCAAAAGUAUUCCUUUCUCCCCCUGUCCUCCAGGUAAAUUUGAGCCACCACUGUUUCAUCCAAACGUGUAUCCUUCUGGCACAGUGUGCCUGUCCAUCCUGGAGGAAGACAAGGACUGGCGGCCAGCUAUUACGAUCAAACAGAUCUUAUUAGGAAUACAAGAACUUCUAAAUGAACCAAAUAUUCAAGACCCAGCUCAAGCAGAGGCCUAUACAAUUUACUGCCAAAACAGAGUGGAAUAUGAGAAAAGGGUUCGAGCACAAGCGAAGAAGUUUGCCCCCUCAUAAGCAGCGGCCCGGGCUCCAUGACGAGGAAGGGAUUGGCUUGGCAAGAACUUGUUUACAACCUUU
rnacentral:lncRNA from 1 species